GCAAUGCCAGUGUUCACUUUUGCCAACCAGGCAGGCUUGACAUGCUGGAGACUACCUUAGUUGCACUGCAAGACUUGACUUUGGAGAGAAUAUUUGAUGAUCACGGGAGAAAGAUCCUCUGUUCCGAGUUUCCCCAGAUUAUCCAACAGGGCUUUGCUUGCCUUCAAGGUGGUAUCUGUCUCUCAAGCAUGGGGCGUCCGGUCUCACAUGAGAGAGUUGUGGCCUGGAAGGUGCUCAAUGAAGAAGAGAAUGCUCAUUGCAUCGCUUUAUGUUCGUGAACUGGUCUUUUGUUUGAUGGUUUAUGUCCCAAGAAUGUAGUAAUUAAUAUGCUGUAGUUGAAGCAGUGCACCCUAAGACAUGCAUCUUGUUUUGUCGUUUGAUGCGCCAUGCAUCUACUGGAUUUGAUGUGAAGACUUGGAUUGCAAACUGAACUGUGUUACACUAAUAUUUGCUUGUUUGUUUAUUU